UACGUAGGGUGCAGGCGUUAAUCGGAAUUACUGGGCGUAAAGCGUGCGCAGGCGGUUUCUUAAGUCAGAUGUGAAAGCCCCGGGCUUAACCUGGGAACUGCGUUUGAAACUGGGAGACUUGAGUGUGGCAGAGGGGGGUGGAAUUCCACGUGUAGCAGUGAAAUGCGUAGAUAUGUGGAGGAACACCGAUGGCGAAGGCAGCCCCCUGGGUUAACACUGACGCUCAUGCACGAAAGCGUGGGGAGCAAACAGGAUUAGAUACCCUGGUAGUCCACGCCCUAAACUAUGUCAACUGGUUGUCGGGGGAUUAACUCCCUUGGUAACGAAGCUAACGCGUGAAGUUGACCGCCUGGGGAGUACGGCCGCAAGGUUAAA
rnacentral:rRNA from 1 species